rnacentral:misc_RNA from 1 species
AAAGUGUCCCAAACAAGACAACAUGAAGACAACAUGCCAUUUAUUAUUAUUAGACCUCAAAGAGAAGCCAUAGUAAGAUUCACAACAGUAAGAAAAACAGACCAAACCAAACAAGGCUUAAGCAAGUCCGCCGCAAUCGGGUUCACACCUCGGAACAACCGGUCGCACCCAACCAACGCCGCCGUUUUUCCCAAACAUGCCAAAGAGCCGAGCCGUCGUGCGCCAGCCCCAAGCACGAGGCCGUACCACGCCACGCACAACGCCAAGUACAAACCAUAAAGGUAGAGGGCGUUGGGCCUGGCGUGGAACCCGCCCUCGGCCCAAACCAGCCAGGCCGCGACGCCCAUCAAUAAGCUGGAAGUCAAAGAUCCCCAAUUAACGACCUUCGUCGAUGGGACCCAGAAGGGCCUUGCGGCGGAGGCCGAGAAGUAGUUUUUGGGGUUGGACAGGAGGAAGAUGGAGAGGAGAGUGAGGGAAACGGGGAUGGAGAUUGCAAGAGCUAGAGACUUUAGGCCUCGUUUGGCUAUGGCUUUGUUCUUGGCUUUCUUGGCGGUGCCGUUGUCGGCGGCGGGGACUUUGGGGGAGGAGGAAUCGUCUGUUUUUCGGUGCUUAAGCUCGGUGGAAG